AAGCGUUUUUUGUUUAAUAAAGGACGAAAUAUGUAAAGAAGAAAAUAAAAUGACAUUUAAUAUGUCUAUAUUGCAUGGAAGAAAAAGUAAGAAGAUUGGAGAAGAAGAUUCAAGAGCGUACGCGAUAAAAGCCAAAUGCGGUGGUCUCGUUGGCACGCGUUACAUAUAUGAUCGAUGGGGUCAUGUUCUUGGACCUUUUCAAGGUCUGCAAUCCUGCAUCAUCUAGAUCCCUAUCUCCGCCAGUGGCGUAGAGAAGUAGAUCUCGCUCGGAAUCCAGAUGUAAGCCUUGCUCUCCAAUAGCGCCAGCAUUCGAAUAAUUAUUUACACCUAACAUUCCGAAAAGGAACUAAUAAGAUAUAUAAUUAAGAACAUUAUAAAAGAAGUAUAACCCGGACAAGAUUAUGAAA